GUCCCAUGUCCCCGUGUCCCAUGUCCUGUGUCCGUGUCCUGUGUCCCGUCCCGUGUCCCGUGUCCGUGUCCCAUGUCCCAUGUCCCAUGUCCCGUGUCCCGUGUCCAUGUCCCGUGUCCCGUGUCCGUGUCCCCUGUCCCGUGUCCGUGUCCGUGUCCCGUGUCUGUGUCCCCUGUCCCAUGUCCCGUGUCCCGUGUCUGUGUCCGUGUCCAUGUCCCGUGUCCCGUGUCCCGUGUCCGUGUCCCGUGUCCCCUGUCCAUGUCCCGUGUCGUGUCCCGUGUCCGUGUCCCCUGUCCCGUGUCCCAUGUCCCGUGUCCCGUGUCUGUGUCCCGUGUCCGUGUCCAUAUCCCGUGUCCGUGUCCGUGUCCCAUAUCCCGUGUCCCAUGUCCCGUGUCCGUGUCCCAUGUCCCAUGUCCCGUGUCCCGUGUCCGUGUCCGUGUCCAUAUCCCGUGUCCGUGUCCAUGUCCCAUAUCCCGUGUCCAUAUCCCGUGUCCGUGUCCAUAUCCCGUGUCCAUGUCCCGUGUCCGUGUCCCAUGUCCCAUGUCCCGUGUCCCAUAUCCCGUGUCCCGUGUCCUGUGUCCCCUGUCCUGUGUCCCAUAUCCCAUAUCCCAUGUCCCAUGUCCGUGUCCCUGUCCCGUGUCCCGUGUCCGUGUCCCAUAUCCCAUGUCCCGUUUCCGUGUCCCAUGUCCUGUGUCCGUGUCCCGUGUCCAUGUCCCAUAUCCCAUAUCCCGUGUCCGUGUCCCAUAUCCCCUGUCCCAUGUCCGUGUCCGUGUCCAUGUCCCAUGUCCCAUGUCCCAUGUCCCGUGUCCCGUGUCCCUGUCCCAUAUCCCGUGUCCGUGUCCAUAUCCCAUGUCCCAUGUCCCGUGUCCGUGUCCGUGUCCGUAUCCCAUGUCCCGUGUCCAUGUCCCGUGUCCCACAUGCAGUUCCGUGCCGCCAGGUCUCGGUGCACGAAGCUCCUCUGGCUCAGGUAACUCAUCCCGGCCGCGAUGUCGGCCAGGAAGNCAAAAACUCCAAAUCUCAAAAUCCCCAAAUCCCAAAAACCCCAAAUCACAAAAAUCUCAACGACGCCAAAAACCCCAAAUCCACAUCCUGCCCCAGUGUCCCCAAAAUGUCCCAAAAUGUCCCAAAAUGUCCCAAAAUGUCCCAAAAUGUCCCCAAAAUGUCCCAAAAUGUCCCAAAUCCCCCCAAUCCCCCCAGUGUCCCCAAUGUUCCCGUGUCCCCAGUGAUGUCCCCGUGUCCGUGUCCCCUGUCCCGUGUCUGUGUCCCGUGUCUAUGUCCUGUGUCCCGUGUCCGUGUCCAUGUCCAUGUCCUGUGUCCGUGUCCCGUGUCCCGUGUCCCGUGUCCGUGUCCCAUGUCCCGUGUCCGUGUCUGUGUCCCUGUCCGUGUCCCAUGUCCCCUGUCCCGUGUCCGUGUCCGUGUCCGUGUCCCUGUCCCGUGUCCCGUGUCCGUGUCCCAUAUCCCGUGUCCAUGUCCCAUAUCCCGUGUCUGUGUCCAUGUCCGUGUCCGUGUCCCAUAUCCCGUGUCCGUGUCCGUGUCCGUGUCCCAUAUCCCGUGUCCCGUGUCCGUGUCCCUGUCCCCUGUCCUGUGUCCGUGUCCGUGUCCGUGUCCGUGUCCCAUGUCCCAUGUCCCAUGUCCCAUGUCCGUGUCCGUGUCCGUGUCCAUGUCCCAUAUCCCGUGUCCAUAUCCCGUGUCCGUGUCCAUAUCCCGUGUCCGUGUCCGUAUCCCAUGUCCCAUGUCCCGUGUCCGUGUCCAUAUCCCGUGUCCGUGUCCGUGUCCAUGUCCCAUAUCCCAUGUCCCGUGUCCAUAUCCCGUGUCCAUAUCCCCUGUCCGUGUCCGUGUCCCAUAUCCCAUGUCCGUGUCCGUGUCCGUGUCCCAUGUCCCGUGUCCAUGUCCCCUGUCCCGUGUCCAUGUCCGUGUCCCAUAUCCCAUGUCCCAUGUCCCGUGUCCCAUAUCCCGUGUCCAUAUCCCAUGUCCGUGUCCCUGUCCCGUGUCCGUGUCCAUAUCCCGUGUCCCAUAUCCCAUAUCCCGUGUCCGUGUCCCAUGUCCCAUGUCCCAUGUCCCAUGUCCCGUGUCCCGUGUCCGUGUCCGUGUCC
ensembl:lncRNA